CAAGAUUGGUUAAAAUAUAUCGUGAAGCAGUCGUUCUAUACAUUGGGCAAAAUAUUAGGGAAAAUACACUAGUUGCUUUUAAGGGAUGCAAAAAUUUUCACUGAUUUUAAUACGUUAUAUCCAUGCAUUUGGAAUUAUGACAAUAAAUACAUCGGGGUCUCUAUAACAUUUUAUUACAAAGCAUGAUAAGAAGGUUUUAAGAGCAAUUGUUACUACAAAGCACUGUAUUGGUACUUGGUACUGCAUUGUGGUAUUGAAACGUAAUAUUAACAUUUUCCCAUCCAUUUUGAUAUUGAUACUCAACAGGCAUGGUCCAAUUUUUCUCCCCACAGGAAUUGUCAUUUCUGUAUCCGGACUUGCUACAAAGAUCUGGAGGCAAUAAAUAGCGGAUAAUGUAUUUCUCUUGGCCUCUGAUGGCUGUUUAUGUUUAUCUAUUUAACUUUCUCGGCCAAGUUUGUUAGUCUGUUUAGCUAAAUAAAAAUCAAUCAAUUUACUUCCUUUAUGAAUUAGUGUUUUUCCCCAUUUUUGGCAGAAAUAUGUGGUUGUGUAACUUACGUGUCUUCUUUUUUUCGUCACUAAAGUCGACAUAGUCAGACAACAACAUGAAGAUGGCUGAGAUAUUAUCUAUCAUGCAAAUGCUAGGCAACAGAGCCAUGAGAGACUGUCACCUGGUAGGACCAUAUUGUUGCCGAGUAGACUGAUCCAACACGGACUUCCAGUUCAGUACCUGUCAGCAGGAGUCUCAUGGGACGUAAUUCAUCGUCCUAACUUCCUUCCUCUGGCCAACACAUCUAGGAUCUCAGACUUAAUGAUGCUGUCGAAGGCCCCGGGCAUGUCUAUCUCAACGGUGUGAAAGUUCAAAUGUUUAAAAAAACAACAACAAUUGCAGGAAAAACUAAGAAGGUUUGCUUGUAAAGAGAUAACAAUGAGGCAACAAAAAUGCGCCCUGCUCCUGCUGGUCAUGAUGGUUUGAAUAGCCAUGAUUAACAUGAAAGAUCCUGUGGGUCUUUAUUAUAACUCACUGACACGAGAAACACUUGUCAGCGUACUGCUUCGUUGGUGACAUGGUCCUGCCAACGGAUGCCUUCGAUCUUUCUCAGGCACUGG